UACAGAGGGUGCGAGCGUUAAUCGGAAUUACUGGGCGUAAAGCGUGCGUAGACGGUAGCGUAAGUCAGAUGUGAAAGCCCCGGGCUCAACCUGGGAAUUGCAUUUGAGACUGCUCUGCUCGGGUGCGGAAGAGGGAAGCGGAAUUUCCGGUGUAGCGGUGAAAUGCGUAGAUAUCGGAAGGAACACCAGUGGCGAAGGCGGCUCACUGGCUCAUUACUGACGCUCAGGCGCGAUAGCGUGGGGAUCAAACAGG
rnacentral:rRNA from 1 species